rnacentral:rRNA from 1 species
GACGAACGCUGGCGGCGUGCUUAACACAUGCAAGUCGAACGAAGUGGCGAACGGGUGAGUCACGCGUAAUCAACCUGCCCUUCAGAGGGUGAAAACAGUUGGAAACGACUUAUAAUACCGCAUACUGUAGGAGGGGAUUGCGUCUGAUUAGCUUGUUGGAGGGGUAAAGGCCCACAAGGGCGAUGAACAGUAGGCGGUCUGAGAGGAUGAACGGCCACAUUGGGACUGAGACACGGCCCAGACUCCUACGGGAGGAAGCAGGGGGGAAUCUUCCGCAAGGGACGAAAGUCUGACGGAGCAACGCCGCGUGAGUGAUGACGGCCUUCGGGUUGUAAAGCUCUGUUAAUCGGGACGCGGUACCGGAAUAGAAAGCCACGGCUAACUACGUGCCAGCAGCCGCGGUAAUAC